UUGGGAAUCUUGCACAAUGGGGGAAACCCUGAUGCAGCGACGCCGCGUGGAGGAUGACGGGUCUAGGCCUGUAAACUCCUUUUAUCGGGAAAGACUUAGGACGGUACCCGAAGAAUAAGCACCGGCUAACUACGUGCCAGCAGCCGCGGUAAGACGUAGGGUGCAAGCGUUGUCCGGAUUUACUGGGCGUAAAGGGCGCGUAGGCGGCUCGUUAAGUGUGAAGUGAAAUCCCUAGGGCUCAACCCAGGAACUGCUUUACAUACUGGCGAGCUUGAGGAUUGGAGAGGCUUGUGGAAUUCCUGGUGUAGCGGUGAAAUGCGUUGAUAUCAGGAGGAACACCCAUGGCGAAGGCAGCAAGCUGGCCAAUAUCUGACGCUGAGGCGCGAAAGCGUGGGUAGCAAACAGGAUUAGAUACCCCCGUAGUCC
rnacentral:rRNA from 1 species